CCAAUAGCGUAUAUUAAAGUUGUUGUGGUUAAAAAGCUCGUAGUUGAACCUUGGGCCUGGCUGGCCGGUCCGCCUCACCGCGUGUACUGGUCCGGCCGGGCCUUUCCCUCUGUGGAACCCCAUGCCCUUCACUGGGUGUGGCGGGGAAACAGGACUUUUACUGUGAAAAAAUUAGAGUGCUCCAGGCAGGCCUAUGCUCGAAUACAUUAGCAUGGAAUAAUAGAAUAGGACGUGUGGUUCUAUUUUGUUGGUUUCUAGGACCGCCGUAAUGAUUAAUAGGGACAGUCGGGGGCAGCAGUAUUCAAUUGUCAGAGGUGAAAUUCUUGGAUUUAUUGAAGACUAACUACUGCGAAAGCAUUUGCCAAGGAUGUUUUCAUUAAUCAGGAACGAAAGUUAGGGGAUCGAAGACGAUCAGAUACCGUCGUAGUCUUAACCAUAAACUAUGCCGACUAGGGAUCGGACGGUGUUAUUUUUUGACCCGUUCGGCACCUUACG
rnacentral:misc_RNA from 1 species